rnacentral:lncRNA from 1 species
GUUUGGGAUGGUUGAAGAUGAAUGUCGGCAGAUGUACUGUUGCCCCUGCCAUAGAUGUGUGUGGCCGUGCUGUGUAUUAUUAUUGUUGAGGGAAGUGAAAUAUGUUUAUUUCUUUUUCUCUUCUUAAAAUUAAUUCUUGGCAUCUGCACCAUAUUUACUUUGUCUGGGUUUUUAAUUUUAACUAAUUUCUUGUUCUUGCUUCUGAAUUUGUGUCUGCAGAUAUUUUAGCAGAUUUUGCUGUGCUUUUGUUUUGAAGUUUAUCGCUGUAUCUGAAGAGAAGCAAUGGUUAGUUUAUCAUUUUUCUUUUUAAUCAAAUGUUCUUAUAAUUUACACAAAUUAGUGUUUGCAUCUGGUAAUGAUCAGUACCUUGUGAAUUAAUUAAAAUAAGAAAAGGUAGAAGUUAGCACGUGUGAUAGUUUAAUGUCUGUUUGUUAACUGUAAAAGGCAUAUUUGAUGGUUAGCAUGUGUGACAGUUUAAUCCCUGUUUGUUAACUGUUUAAAAAGGCAUAUUUGAUGUUGAAGGGACACACAUAAACAUCUUUUUGUUUAUGAGUUUUAUAGAAAUGCUUGCACAGGUAACAUGUAUCCAUUUCCCAGUAGGCUGCAUGGGCACUUUGUCAGGCUUGCUGAUAGGAAAAGUAUACCACUAAAUGAACCUAUAAUUUGCUGUCUUUGAUGUGUUAGUAGCACUAUUAGGUUAUAUUCGCAAAUAAUAGCUUUAUUAAAAAGAAAUACAGCAAAGUGAGUUGCAAUAACAUAGAUAUGUUAAAAGAAGAAAUUAGGAGAGUUAAGGAAAAUAAUUAAAAAAUUCAUAUAAAAAUUUAAUUGUUGGUAUAACUGUAUUUAUGUGUAUGCAUACUUAUAUGCGGCUGUAUGUACCAAUUACAAAGUAUCAGCUCUGAACUUGCAUAGAGAUGUACACUAAACUAUAUUAAUAUGAUUAUGUCAACUUGAACUAUGUUGCAUUUGUACCACAUGUUGGUACUUGCACUCAUAGUUCUAUUGGUAACAGGUAACUUUAAUGAUACCAAGGGUAAAACAUGAUCUAUCACUGUGUGAGGAUUGUCUAUAGAGAUCUUUGGUUUCUGGUUUGUUUUUCUGCAGCUGUGCUGGUGCUUGCUAUAUGUGUGAAUUUGUCGGCACGAUUCCUGAGGUGGUCUGAACUAGGUAGAUAGAUAACUAGCAUUAAGAUAGUGCUUUUUGUACUUAUGGAAUGUUACCUAUGAAUCAAUUUUGGAACUUUGGACACUUUAAUGACACUUCAUGACCCUGCUUGACACUAAAGUGAACCACAACCUCAUCACCAUUAAAUGUUAACUUUUGGCUUUUCUAUGUAAGAGUUAUUAAGUUCCAUGCGGAGUAAAUCAUGUCAAAAUUAUGGAGCAAAUAGUCCUAUUGAUUAUUUACUGAAUAUAUUUAUAUAUGUACACAGAUUUGAAGUUUUGGCUCAAGUUGAUACAUUUCAACCUAAAAUGGCUGUGGAUGCUUUUGCUUAUUCAUUAUUUUGAUUUAUAGCAUCAUUAUUCUUCAUUUCUUUUUAAGUAUAUGAUGGGGAUAUUUUUUUUCUUGGUGUUAGAUGAGGAGAUAUCUAAUUCAUAAGGAGUAUUUUCUUAAAAUUAGGCAUGGGUUUUAUAUUUUUUUGGAAGACUUAAGCAUUUGGGAGUCUGGUUCUAAGGACUUCAAGUGAAGUGUAGCUUAUUCUAGAUACAACAUUUUUUUUUAAUCUUCAAGAGUUAUUUUGGGGUAAGGGGUAAAAAUGGGUAUAACCGAUCAAGCCCCUUGAAUAGUGGAUUAGAAGAUCUACGUGUGGAUUAGCCAGAGCUUGGAUUUUAUAGACAUUUAAAUGAAAUGUAUCUAUCUGUCAUCUUAUUUUUGUACUUUAUAAAUUCUUACUGGCUAUAAUUUGAUAACCAGUGCUUGAUCUAAUGGUAUCAUGUUUAUAUUCAUAACUAUAAUCAUAAUCGUGAAGCCUUUUUCCAGCUAUUUGGAAUCGGCUUUACGGAUCGUUAUUCGCCAAGUAUUCCUAUUUAGGACUAUCUCUAUUGUUAUUUUUAAGUUUCCCAUAUCCUUCCUCACAACCUCCAUCCAUGUUAUCUUAGGGUAUCAAGUUUAUAGUCAUAUGUAGUUUUAUGCUAUUGCAGUUUAUUUUUGUUGGGAUACACUAUUAGGCAUUUAAUUAUCAGAUUCUUAAGCAAUUCCAUGUAAUAUAAUUCUUUAACACUCCAUCAUGUCUAAACUGAUAUUCUUUUUAAUGAUUUUUGUACUUUAGGCCUUUGGUCUGGAAACACCAAAACCAUGAAAACCAAAGACGUUGGAUUAUUAAAUAUACUUAAAAAUUGUGUGAUAUUAUUUUCAUCAAAUUCAUUCAUAUUUACCAUGUUUUCCUGUCUUUUCAUAAUCUUUUACAUUUUUGUUUGGGGGUGAAACUCAUAAACUUGAGCUGAACUUGAAAAUCAGUGGACCUUACUAAAACUAGAAAUAAACUCGAGCUUUCAAAACUUGAUUUAUGCUUGCUUGUACAAACAUCUAUAUAAUACAUACAUGUCUUUGUGCCAAAUUCCAUGGAGGUUCCCUUGUGAGAUUUUGCUGGACACUGGACACACAAGGAAUGCUGUAAAAAGGUUUAAUGGUUAUGGUUAUACAGGUAUUUGUGUUUUUGUUUAUGUCUUUGCUUGCUUGUGUGUGUGUUUUUUUUGCCGGGGGGGGGGGUGUGGUGUGUUCAGCAUACUUUUUACUUCAGCAAUUUUUAUUUUAUCCAUUAGUCUGGAACUCAGAACCUGAAGUUAUAUAUAACAAAUAAAUAAUUUAGGUAUAUACUUUUCUUGUUUGUUAGUAUGGCAGUGAGUGGUAGCCUUCAACAAGCAGCAUUAUUUAUGAACAUCUCCUAAUUUUCUUCUUCUAUUGACAUAUUUCUGUAUUGUUGCAUUUUCUCUACUACUGUAUUCGCAGAAAUUUGUUAUGUUAAUAUUAUAUCUAUGAGUUAUUCAAAGGCAUGUCCAGCUAAAUGGCUGAUUAAGUUCUGGCAAUUCUUCAUAAAAUUUACUACUCAGUAUGUUUUAAUUGCAUUCAGUUUCUAGCCCUGUGUGGUGAAUGUGUAUGUUGGAAUUGUGCAAGAAAGAUUUUUUUGGGAAGUAUCUCCUUUUACCAUUUCUGUAUCAAUUUCAUGAGUAAAAUAUGUCUAAUGCAAUGUUGCAGUUUCUUUACUUCAGGUGUAAUAUUUUUGCGAAUAACUGAAGAUGUAUACUGAUUAUUAUACUUGUGGUUUCUAAACAGGCCAGUCUUGCCGAUUCUUUCUUGGCUGACCUUGAAGAUUUAUCUGACAAUGAAGCCCAUCUUGUGAGUUUAUAUGUUAAUUUUAUACUUGAUUACGAUUUUAUUCUAAUAGCUAAUAUUUAGGUGUUUGCAAUUUUAUGUGUGAGCCUCAUCUUUUACCUGUUUCUUUUGUUUCGGUGCUGUAUAUUUCUGCAUCAUGGUCACUUGCUUCUAUGUCGCAUGGAACUUGUCUAUUAGGAUGAUGAGGAAGCUGAUGUAGCAGACAUGGAGGAGGAUGCUGAUGGUGAUAUAGCUGAUAUUGAAGCACUAAACUAUGACGAUCUUGAUAGUGUCUCAAAGCUGCAGAAGACGCAACGCUAUAAUGAUAUUAUGCAGGUGAUGCACCAAACUCUUUAUACGUAUCGUUGUCAUGUUUUUGUAUUAGGGUAAAGCUCACAACUGUGGCAUCUGGUUUUGUGGUUGUCUUGUACAUAUUCAUGGUUAUUGGGCUAUGGUCGCCUCAGCUUUUAUUUGUUUGCAUUUAUAACCUAAAUCUAGAUCAUAUUUCAUAUUUGUCUAUCAUUCAAGGUUGCCUUUUUUGACUGAUUUGAAUUUUUUUUCUCUGUAUCAUGCUCAACUAUUUAUUUUCCUUUCAUCUAAAAUUAAUGAAAGUGUAUUAGGAUAAACUUGAAGGUUCAGCCAUCAUGCAUUUUGUUGCAUGGAUGCUGUUGGCAAAAUUUCCUUUUUAACUUCUAAAGUUUUUAGAGCCAUUUUUUUUAGUUCUUCUUGUUGUCAUAAUGAUUUUGUUGGUUUAUUAAUUUUAUUCUCUUGUCCUGACUCAUAUAUGUAUGUAUAUAUAUAAUACAUACUGGUGAAAUGCAAUGUGCAAAACUUAGGAAGAUCUUUCAGUUUGUCUCGUAUGAUAAUCACUCUUCAUUUCUUGUGAAUCACAGAAAGUUGAAGAUGCACUCCAGAAGGGAUCAGAUAUAUCUAGUCAUGGAACAGUCUUAGAAGAUGAUCCUGAGUAUCAACUUAUUGUUGAUUGCAAUGCUUUAUCUGUCGACAUUGAAAAUGAAAUCAUCAUAAUCCACAAUUUUAUACGUGAUAAGUACCGCUUGAAGUUUCCUGAACUUGAAUCUCUUGUUCAUCACCCAAUUGAUUAUGCUCGGGUUGUGAAGAAGAUUGGAAAUGAGGUGGACUUGACCCUUGUCGACUUGGAGGGCCUUCUACCGUCAGCAAUUAUUAUGGUUGUUUCUGUUACAGCAUCAACUACAAGUGGCAAGCCUCUGUCAGAAGAGAACCUAAAAAAAACAAUUGAUGCAUGUGACCGAGCGCUUGAUCUUGAUAUUGCAAAGAAGAAAGUUCUUGAUUUUGUAGAGAGCAGGAUGGGAUAUAUCGCACCAAAUAUUUCUGCUAUUGUUGGAAGUGCAGUUGCAGCUAAACUUAUGGGAACAGCUGGUGGCUUGUCAGCAUUGGCAAAAAUGCCAGCUUGCAACGUUCAGCUUCUUGGGGCAAAGAAGAAAACCCUUGCUGGAUUUUCCACUGCAACCUCCCAGUUUCGUGUAGGUUAUCUUGAACAAGCUGAGAUUUUUCAGAGCAC